rnacentral:rRNA from 1 species
GGCGAACGCUGGCGGCGUGCUUAACACAUGCAAGUCGAACGGAAAGGCCCUGCUUUUGUGGGGUGCUCGAGUGGCGAACGGGGGAGUAACACGUGAGUAACCUGCCCUUGACUUUGGGAUAACUUCAGGAAACUGGGGCUAAUACCGGAUAGGAGCUCCUGCUGCAUGGUGGGGGGUGGAAAGUUGCGGCUGGAGGGGAUGGACUCGCGGCUUAUCAGCUUGUUGGUGGGGUAGUGGCUUACCAAGGCUUUGACGGGUAGCCGGCCUGGGAGGGUGGACGGCCACAUUGCUACUGAGGUACGGCCCAGACUCCUACGGGAGGCAACAGGGGGGAAUAUUGCCCAAUGGGCGGGAGCCUGAUGCGGCAACGCUGCGUGCGGGAUGACGGCCUUCUGGUUGUAAACCGCUUUCGCCUGUGACGAAGCGUGAGUGACGGUAAUGGGUAAAGAAGCACCGGCUAACUACGUG